AUGAGAGUCGAAGGAUCGAGAGAUGAAGAUGGAGCAGAUAAUGAUGUUUGGCAUGGCAGAAUGAUAAUUACGCAUGAAGGAGAUUAUAGGAUCUCCUGGUCCUCGAAAUGGCAGCAGAGGAGAUGGUUGAUAAAUUCAGCCUCGUGCUCACGAAUGUGACAUGAUUGUAAUUCCUUAGUACACAAGGACGAUGAAUUAAAAAUGUGUACCUACA
rnacentral:sRNA from 12 species